rnacentral:rRNA from 1 species
UAGGGAAUCUUCGGCAAUGGGGGCAACCCUGACCGAGCAACGCCGCGUGAGUGAAGAAGGUUUUCGGAUCGUAAAGCUCUGUUGUAAGUCAAGAACGGGUGUGAGAGUGGAAAGUUCACACUGUGACGGUAGCUUACCAGAAAGGGACGGCUAACUACGUGCCAGCAGCCGCGGUAAUACGUAGGUCCCGAGCGUUGUCCGGAUUUAUUGGGCGUAAAGCGAGCGCAGGCGGUUUGAUAAGUCUGAAGUUAAAGGCUGUGGCUCAACCAUAGUU